AGAGUUUGAUCCUGGCUCAGGACGAACGCUGGCGGCGCGCCUAACACAUGCAAGUCGAACGGAGCUUAGAGAGCUUGCUUUUUAAGCUUAGUGGCGAACGGGUGAGUAACGCGUGAGUAACCUGCCCUAGAGUGGGGGACAACAGUUGGAAACGACUGCUAAUACCGCAUAAGCCCACGGUGCCGCAUGACACUGAGGGAAAAGGAUUUAUUCGCUUUAGGAUGGACUCGCGUCCAAUUAGCUAGUUGGUGAGGUAACGGCCCACCAAGGCGACGAUUGGUAGCCGGACUGAGAGGUUGAACGGCCACAUUGGGACUGAGACACGGCCCAGACUCCUACGGGAGGCAGCAGUGGGGGAUAUUGCACAAUGGGGGAAACCCUGAUGCAGCGACGCCGCGUGGAGGAAGAAGGUUUUCGGAUUGUAAACUCCUGUCGUUAGGGACGAUAAUGACGGUACCUAACAAGAAAGCACCGGCUAACUACGUGCCAGCAGCCGCGGUAAAACGUAGGGUGCAAGCGUUGUCCGGAAUUACUGGGUGUAAAGGGAGCGCAGGCGGGAAGACAAGUUGGAAGUGAAAACCAUGGGCUCAACCCAUGAAUUGCUUUCAAAACUGUUUUUCUUGAGUAGUGCAGAGGUAGAUGGAAUUCCCGGUGUAGCGGUGGAAUGCGUAGAUAUCGGGAGGAACACCAGUGGCGAAGGCGGCCUACUGGGCACCAACUGACGCUGAGGCUCGAAAGCAUGGGUAGCAAACAGGAUUAGAUACCCUGGUAGUCCAUGCCGUAAACGAUGAUUACUAGGUGUUGGAGGAUUGACCCCUUCAGUGCCGCAGUUAACACAAUAAGUAAUCCACCUGGGGAGUACGACCGCAAGGUUGAAACUCAAAGGAAUUGACGGGGGCCCGCACAAGCAGUGGAGUAU
rnacentral:rRNA from 1 species